CGACGUUGUGGCCUCUGGACAAGGCGGUGCUUAGAAAUGGUUCUCUUCCUGCUGACGUCAUUGCAUGGAUGCCGUUCCAUAGCAUAGACUUAACGUCAGUGGUACCCAGCCCCAGGAGCCGCUUUCCCGGAAGUGGCAGUGAUUUCUCAACAACAAUAAAGCUAGCUACACUCAGCCUCUCUCGAUUAUGCUGCGGGAACAACCUGUGUAGGGAAACAAUACCCUCGAUCCUGCUGAAGGUUCGCACAGAUGGGACACCAGUGGGAGGAGCUGCCAGCUACUUCCCUGCCAGCGCGUUAGUGCUGGUGACAUGAUCCUCUUGUUUUGCCAGCUUAAUAGAGGAUCAGCCGUAAAAAUUCUCUGUAGGCUCAGCAACAUAAUUAUUAUCUAUGGUCUCUGCAUUAACUGCGAGGAAACAGCAUGGUCUGAAUCUGUCUCAUUUUAAAUGCCAAGCUGUGCCCACAUUCAGCCCACAGCCAACCUGAAAAUCCAAUGUCCCUGCCACACAGCUCUGCCUGUCGUCAUGCGGAAGUUAAGCAUGCGGUUGCCUGAGUCCCGGUGUUUAAGCAUCCUCGGCUGUCGCUGCGUUUGCUUCCUUCCUCCUGACCUUUACCAACAUCAGUGCCCUUGAUGGAAAUUAUUAAGUAGGUAAAAAAAAAAAAUCUGUGUCACAUUUCGUUCUGGUACUCAGUCCAGAAGAGCCAAACCCCUGCAAAUUUGGAAAACAAACUCCUUAACAGAUGGGCCACAUGAAGUUUACAGCAUGUGCAGUGUGGGAGGUUCCCCACCUAACCAUGGACUCAUUCUCUGGAAGUGUAAGCCCCAAUAAGCUCUUCCUUCUCUUUAGAGAGUCUUCAUGAAAACAGAUGAGAACGUGGAGAGCGAAUGACAGAGAACUGAGACGGAUGAACACACUGUAGAAGGGAGCAUUGGAACCUGAUACCCCAAGCCUGGUUGAUAUCCCGUAUCUGAAGAUAAAUGGAGGAGGAAGAGAUGAUGCAGGGAUGGGAAGGGAAGAGGGCCUGGGAAGAGAGAGGAGAGAGGGAAACACCAACCAAAUAAAUAAAAACAAAUGAAAGAAGGGAGCGUUGGAUAUGUAAGGACACAGUUUUCAUACUUCAGGAUCCUAUUUUUGAUCCUAUGAAGAAGAAAAUGUUCUUCAUAGAAAUAUUAUUAGAUUGAAAUACAAGGUACUAGCAAUUCACGUUUAAUGGAGGUCAUGAAAGAGUGUGAAAAGUGUAAGAAUUGAAGUCACACCUGACAACUGUGGUUGUCUCUGCUUUUCCAUCCACUGUAUUCCGUAGUUCUCUGUUAGCGGUUUUGAUCACGCCAGGCUUUGGUUAUGAAAGGAGAGAAGUGUGAGAACUGAAUCUAUUGAACUGGAAAUAAACAAUGUCUGGCUGGUAUGAUGCUCAGUGAGACAAGAUGCUCGUCAUCAAGUCUGAUUACCUAAGCUUGAUUCCUUGGGCCCUAAUCAGAGGAAGGAGAGAAUAGACUCACUUAAGUUAACUUCUGACCUCCAA